CGGCACCGAGGAGUAAUAUGGAGAACGUGAGCAUCUGCUCGAAGAAGUGUCAGAUUUGAUGCGGAACGCCGGAUGAGCACUUGCUGCUCUCAAUGUAUGAUAAUGAGUGUACAGAGCCACCAGUUGGAGAAAUGGCUAGCGACCCUACUCCAGACGACAGCUGCGCGAGCAGGCCGACUCAAGAAGCGGCAGCCAUUCAAUCACCACUCGACAGCACACAAGUAGAGGAGGCCACUGGAGACAGCGAUGCGAACCAGCACGCUCAAGUGCCCAUCCACAAGCGCACAAGUCGGCGACACAUGCAAGCUGCCCCAACAGGUACGGCAAAUCAAAGUUGCAUGAUUUGUUAAGGUGUAUCUUCUAACGCCUAGCUCCGUUUAUAUUAAGACUGUAUACACACACUACGUCGCUGUUUUUUUUUUUCGUUCAUAUUUUUCAAUUUGAGUAGAUGCUUAACGUUGAUUAGAGACGAAUGUAAGACGGUGGUGAACGAUGUGAUAACCUGCUGCUGUCGCAGUGUAUGAGUUGUGAGACAAAGUAAUCGAAGUCUGUUAACAUGGAGCGCUAUUUGUUUCACAUUUGCUUCUUUUUUUUUCUUUUACAAGAAUUAGACGCAUCCAGACUACGGGGACUGAGCUCUUGCGAAGGAGAGAGGAGAACGAGUUUAUUCUCCACCAGAAAGAAAUAGAAAUCAGGCAGAGAAGGCUUGAAUAUGAUGAAAGGUGCCUGGCCCUUGAAGAACGGAAGCAGGUGACAGAAACUCGAUGCCCAGGGUUAUGAAGAAAAUAUAAAAAUGCUUCGCAGCAUUAAAACUGCGCUCGAGGAGCAGCAAAAACAAAUUAUAAGCCUUUUCAAAUAAAGUGCUUUCACUGUGUGACUCAGUUCUGUGGCCUCGAAUAACCCUCCAGCUGCGGAGGUUCAACCCCAAAAUGCUGCGAGACCUGCGAACCGUACAUACAUGGUGUGACAAUUUGCAAGUACAGCCCCAGCUUUGUACAUCCGAGAAAUAUUUUGUCUCUUCUGCUUCUGAUUCUUUCGAAAACCCAAGAAUGCAAACAGGCCUGCUAUCUUUCCAAAACUCCACUCCACUGAUUACCUUACAGUGCUAAUUUUCUUGUUGAAAGCAUACUGCAGCAAGGUUAUGCUAGUCCUGCCAUAAGGUUUCAGCAGCAGAGGUCGCAAGGGAUAAGCGGGAUCACCGCACAGAAAAAAGCUGC